UGGGGGAUAUUGCACAAUGGGCGAAAGCCUGAUUCCGCGACGCCGCGUGUGGGAUGAAGGCCUUCGGGUUGUAAACUUCUUUUGCUCUGAACAAGGCAUGCCUUUGGGGUGUGUUGAGUGUAGGGGUUGAUUAGCGCCGGCUAACUACGUGCCAGCAGCCGCGGUAAUACGUAGGGCGCGAGCGUUGUCCGGAAUUAUUGGGCGUAAAGGGCUUGUAGGUGGCUGGUUGCGUCUGUCGUGAAAGCUCAUGGCUUAACUGUGGGUUUGCGGUGGGUACGGGCUGGCUUGAGUGCAGUAGGGGAGGCUGGAAUUCCUGGUGUAGCGGUGGAAUGCGCAGAUAUCAGGAGGAAUACCGGUGGCGAAGGCGGGUCUCUGGGCUGUUACUGACACUGAGGAGCGAAAGCGUGGGGAGCGAACAGG
rnacentral:rRNA from 1 species